AAUGGGUGCAGGUACAUACUACAUGUCUGUUGAACAAUAUUCAGAUUUUAAAUUAUGCUUUAAAAAUCUUGACCGACGCAUAUAUCAUGGACCUGGAUCCGGAAAAAGGUAUCAAUAUGUAAAACAUAUCUUGCUGUGUGUUUUCGAGGUUACCAACAGACUAGCGGCCGUGUGGUGAUUGAUGUUUAGAGAUUAUAAAGAACUUGGAUGUUGAUUCUUUCUUCUUUUUGGAAAGAGACGAGUGUGGUGGUUCGCCGGAGUUUCUGGUGAUUCGCCGGAUUGAAUGUCGUGUGACGAGUUGAACCUGUGGGAAGGAAUUGUUCUGAGUUUUAUGAGUUGAAACGAGUUGAGGAACUCGCUGUGUUGACUCGUCAGAAAUGUGGUCUGCGCCAACUGUUUGGUUUAAUGACCGACAGAUUUUGUCACCGGAAAUGAUGAUUACAGCAGAAUAAACGCCGAGUGCCUUAAGUAGUGGAUGCUAACAAGAUUGAGAAACUCACUCCCGAACAGAUGCUGUUCCAAGCUGCCCUGAGGCAUAAACUCGUAUACAAGAAGUCGAUGCUUAUCUUCUAAGCAGUACCCAAUCAUAUUAACAAGGUUAGGGUGACAGAGAUAUUCCAGAACUCUUAUUUCUGCCUGUAGUCAAAAAUGUCGCAAAGAGUAAAGAGUUAUAUAGCAAACUUUGUUGAAUAAAAUAUUGUAUAUUAUAAUUUGAUAAUAUUAAUGGAUUGUUAUUAUAUUAUUAUUUUAAUCGGAUUCUAUUACUUGUAAUUCUAUUUAGAUAUUAAAAUCCCAUGCCUAUUCUGUUAUACUGCUUUAUACCAUUACUUUAUACUGAUUUAUACAAUUUAUAAAUAUAAAAAUUAGACAAUUUAUACAUAUAAAGAUAUUACUUAAUACUAUUUUAUACAAUUUUCUUAGUCUCUAUGUUCAACUCAAUGUAAAGAAUUCACCGUGACUGAGGGGGUAUGAUACUACGAUAGAGAAUACUGUGCCGGGAAAAUUUUUCAAGGUACGAGCGGAAGGUAUGCUGCUAUCAUUUUCCCGUGACCAUCUUCUUAUAAGUAAUUAUGUGUGUGUGUGUGUGGAUAAUCCUAGUAAAUACCAAUGUUUGUUUUAGAUGGGACGGUAAAUUAAAAAAUCAAAUAAUGAUAUAGAUAGAUGAUAUAGAUCUAAAUUUGAAACCCUUCUCCUAAAAUAUUGAAUUUUUAGAUGACUCAGAAAAUCUAAGUUAUUGAAAGAAAUUUUGAUUAAAUUAAGUUAUUUGAAGAAAUUAUAAGAGACAAACGAAACUCUUAACAUUUGGAAAAAAAAAAAAAAAACUUUGGGCACUUACCAACCACUCCUGGGCACCCUGGGUACUUUCUCGAUGUAAUCUCUUUACUGCAAUGAGCAGGCCAGAACCCCAUUCUGCCGCGGCAAAUGUGUUCGUAUCAACCCAGCCCUUAUAAACAGAACCAAAACCACCUUCCCCUAAUUUACUGUCAGAAUGGAAGUGCCUGGUAGCUACACUAAGCACAUUAAAUGAGAAACUCCGCAACCUCGAUGACUGCAGAACUUUUUCCUCGUCCCAAGCUUUUGGUUUCAUCGACUCAAGGCCAACUACAACCUCAGCCAUAGUAGGACGAUGCUUGGGUUGAGGAUGCAAACACUUGAUAGCAACUCCCACAUACGCGUUUAAGGAAUCAUUGGAAAUGUCCCCCUUGAUAUUCAGAUCAAUUAUCUGACCUAGGAGUCCUUCUUUAUAGCAGUCUUGCGCCCA